UUCAUAAGUUUUUGUUUGUGUUUUUCCUUUCUUCUCUGUUCUCUCUCUUCCCUCUCGCUCUUCUCUCCGUGACUCAGCUAGCGAGGACAGAGAGCUGUUGACGUCCGAACACCGGCGAAUCGGACCUCAUCGUUACCACCAGUCGUCUCCCCUUCAUCUCAGGAACAAGAAACAGCUGUUGCAUGCCUCGGAUUGUUACUAUUUCGACGAGGGUUUACGAACUUAACCCCGAUUGUAUUUUCCAUCUCUCUCUUUCUGCACUUUCGAUAAGUUACGGUUUUUCACGUUCUUUUGAAAGCACAUUGAUUUUGUGUUAAUUUGAGUCUUUAUGUUAUGAAUUCUGAUAUUUUUCGUUUAAUUUGGGUUGUUGGAGUUUCGAAUUUGUACCCUGACUUUGCUCUAAUGAAUUUUAAUUUCGUCUGUUAUUGGUGGGUUUGAGUAAAUUUCGAACCUUUUAAUUUCGCCGUGCCCACCAUCAAGUACUUGAUCGGCCUUGGCGCCAAAGUUAUCCUUGCUUCUCACUUGGUAAUUCAUGGCUUCGAUUAAUCCGCAAUAUUCCUUACCAUUUUUACUAUUUUAGAAUAUGGAUUCUGUUUGUUUGGGAAUUAAAUGUAUCGGUUUGUGUUGGUUUGUAAGAUUUGUGUGUUUUGAAUCUAUUAGUUUCUUUAUUGAAGUUGUUCUGAACUCUAAAAAUUACUGAUUGGAUCUACUUUGCAUGAUCAGCUUGGAUCUUAUAAGUUUGAUUGAUAAGGAUUGCGAUGGAUUUGCUGCUUGAUCAAUAUUGAUCAAUUUGAAGAUCCCCAUUUUGUUUUACCAUUCUAUAUGUUUUUUUAGUUAUCGUAUUAUUUUGACCAUAUUAUUUGCUUUAAGUUUGUGCCCAGUAUUGGAGUUUCUGAUAACUUUUAGUUUACUUGUUUAUGUAUUCGCUGAUGUUGCAUCUUAGUUAGGAUUGUGUUUGUCUUUGUAAGGAGAUGGAGAUCGGUGACGAUGAUCAGGAGUUCGGCGCUGUGUGGAUGAUCCCGGUGUAGGCUCUGGUUUUCAAACUCUGGUGAUUUGUAGGGUUUUGGGGGCGUGAAUUUUUGGGGAUUUCAUUUGGAUUUCUGGCCCUGAAUUUUGCAAGGACUGUCUGCCCUGUAUGUACACCAGAUGCUCCUGACAUUUCAAAUAAGAUGUUGCCAUGUCAAGGAGUUCAAGUUUUGCUUAAUAGGUAACAGUUGUUUUUAAGCUUAGUCUGUAAUCUGUAUGGUCUUUAUCAUGUCGUUUAUUUUGGUGGCAGUUAGGUGUCACUAGAUGGACUACUAAAGCAGCUAAGGGUAUUGAAAUCAGUUAUGCUUGAUUGGUGGUGGGAAAUAUGCAUGGUGGAUUCGAUCAAACUCUAUUUUCCUUUUUUUGGGUUUUAUUAGUUUAUAUGAAUUUUAAUAUAUUUUAUAAAUGAGUAAUGAGAAGAAAUUUUUUUUUUAAAAAAAAAAUUACCAGGUUAAUGCUGGGUUUUAUGUUCUAAUUUAUGGGUUUUGGUAAAAAGAGGUUUAGAUAUUUAGUUUUGAUUGCUCUGUUUUAUUUGCUCUAGGGUUUUGGAGAGUUUGAAUUUGGGAUCUUGGAAAAGCGCAAGAAAAAUAUUUCAAUCAAGUUUUAAAAGGAAGUUUCAAAGUGUAUCUGAAUGCAGGACAAGAGAAUAAUGUGAUGAGCCUCAAGAACGGUGAAGUAAGAAAUUAAGUCCUGAGAAGUAAAGCAUGUGAAUCAAUUAAAGGAAAUUUAGAGCUUUUUCCUUAGUAAUUAUGAGUUUUGAGUAGUAUAAUGAUCAAUAUAGUGGUUUCCUAUAUACGAGAGACUAAUCUCAAGGAUUUCAAGGGCCAGGUAUUUACGAUUCGACAACAUAUCUGUGAGUUGGCUUUUAUUUCCAACAUAUAUAUGAUGUGUUUAUAUGAAAUAUUGUGUUAUCAUGCCAUGCAUUCAUUUGUGUUAGUACUUAUUCUGCAGUCGGAACGAGCUUCACGUGUAUGUUCACACUCAUGCACUUACACUCAGAAUGGAUCCAUUUAGUGCAAGCCUAUACUAGUUUGCCUUAGGCGGGUGUAACACGCUUAGCGUGAGCUUGACAUGAUUAUAGUACUUGAGCGUAAAUUUAUACAUAGAGCUUGUUCAUGGUAGAAUAUAUCUCUGCAUGUACUCGUACUAAAUUGGUGUGUUUUUAGUUGAAUAAUGAUGUAAAUUGAGCUUCUUUAUGGGAAGUUACUUGUCACAUUGACAUUGAUAUGCUAUUGUGCCUCAGAAAAGAAGACAAAGGAUAAGCACAAAAGUAAACAUCACAAAGGCGAUCGUCUCUCGGGGGCAAUCUUCAUGAACUUGUACUUUCCAGUUCGAACAAAUAAUUUUAAAUUCACUUGGAACUUUGGUUUGUAACUUAAUUUUUUGCUUUUCGAUUUGUAACUUAUUUUAUUUUGAUUACAUGUUUUUUUUUUUAAUUUAAGUGGUUUGCUAGUAUAUUACUAAUGAUACAUUCAUAAAAUGAUGAGCAUGAUUUGCUACUAGUUUGUUGGUAUAAAAUUAGAACUUGUGUAAAGAACCGUGGUGAUAAAUAGAAUUUGUAUGUAUUGGGCUUAA